rnacentral:rRNA from 1 species
AGGGAAUCUUCCACAAUGGACGAAAGUCUGAUGGAGCAACGCCGCGUGAGUGAUGAAGGUUUUCGGAUCGUAAAACUCUGUUGUAAGGGAAGAACCAGUACGUCAGGCAAUGGACGUACCUUGACGGUAUCUUAUUAGAAAGCCACGGCUAACUACGUGCCAGCAGCCGCGGUAAUACGUAGGUGGCAAGCGUUGUCCGGAAUUAUUGGGCGUAAAGCGCGCGCAGGUGGUUCGUUAAGUUGGAUGUGAAAGCCCCGGGCUCAACCUGGGAACUGCAUCCAAAACUGGCGAGAUAGAGUACGGUAGAGGGUGGUGGAAUUUCCUGUGUAGCGGUGAAAUGCGUAGAUAUAGGAAGGAACACCAGUGGCGAAGGCGACCACCUGGACUGAUACUGACACUGAGGUGCGAAAGCGUGGGGAGCAAACA